UCCGAGGUCUAGGGACGCGGCAGAUAUACCUUGAAGUCUCCAAAGUUGUCCCGGCUCACGGAUAGCGCGACUGAUAAGGAACACCUGGAUCUGCACACGAAAAACAUGUAUAGAGAGUUGUAUGAGUACACCACAAUCGGUUCCCAGUAAGUGCCAAGCCUAUCCUCGGUCGAGUAGUGAUGAGGUCAGGUCAUGGCCCUACUAGUAUAUAUAUAUAAUAAUAAAGCAAGACAAUAAUAAAAUAUCGAAGUAAAAUAAGGACUGGAAUUUUUAACAAGAAAGUAUUCUUAGAAGGUAACGGCUCAGUACACAGAAAUACAAUAGAGGAUCUCCCGAGAUACCGUCUCAUAGUCCCAAACGUAAAUGUGCAGGGGGAUCUACCGGAAUACCAUUCCGUAGUCCCAAAGUAAAUAUGCAGAAUAGGGGGGGAUCUAUCAGAAUACUGUUCCGUAGUCCCAAUGUAAAUAUACAAAACAGGGUGAUCUACCGGAAUACCAUUCCGUAGUCCCAAAGUAAAUAUACAAAGCAGUGGGAUCUACCGGAAUACCGUUCCGUAGUCCUAAAGUAAAUAUGCAGAAUAGGGGAAUUUACCGAAAUACCGUUCCGUAGUCCCAAAGUAAAUAUGCAGCUCAAAUAAUAAAACUCGACAAUUACUACACGAAAUCUUACAAAUUAGACCAAGUACAAGUCAAGGAAAAACACGAAAUCAACUAGGCAUGCUUCAUAGAGUUCAAUUAAGCAGCUAAGGCACGUAGACAUGCGAGAUUAGACUAAGCAAGAUAGCUACACAUAUUGGGAUAGUUCAAAUAAGAAUGAAGACAUGCUAAUACUCAUUUAAACGGUAUAACUCAAUUUAAAAGAAGAAUAGAUUACUACUCAGUAAAAUAAGUUGGGGUUUUUACUAUAAUUAGCCCGUGUACGUACUCGUCACCUCACAUACACGGCGCUCACAUAUCAAAACAGUACCAAAUCCUAAGUGGAUUUCCCCCACGCAAGGUUAGGCAAGCCACUUACCUCAAACCAAGCUCAAUCAAUCAGUAAUAAUGCCUUUUCCACGAAUAACCGACUUCGAAUGACCCAAAUCUAGCAAAAACAAUUACAUAUCAUAAAUACAACUAUAAUAAACUAAUAUAAUUAAUAAAAUCAAAAUUUUAAUAAAAAUUCAGAAAUAUAUCCUAAAACGUUGACCUGGGCCCAUGUCUCAGAAUCGGGUAAAAGUCACAAAAUAUGAACACCCAUUCACUCACGAGUCCAACCAUACCAAAAUUAGCCAAUUCCGAUCACAACUUGACCUUCAAAUCCUCAAUUUAUGGUUUAUGAAGUUUCUACAAUUUUCCCAAAUUUACAUCUGAAAGUAAUAAUUAAAUGAUAAAAUCAGUGAUAUGUUCAUGCAUAUUAACCAAAUCCGAGUUAGAAUCACCUACCCCGAAGAAUUUCUUGAAAAACCCACGAAAAGUCGUCUCAAACCGAGCUCCCAAAGUCCAAAAAUAAAAUAAUAACCUAAACCUCGAAUAUAUAGUACAUCCUCGGAACUCCCAAUGUGUGGUCCGCACAAUUCCAUGUGUGGCUGCAUCUCCCAACUUCUGCGGUCGCACAAAAAUUGUGCGGCCGCACUCUUGGUGACUGCACUGCCAGGCUUUAGUAUUUUGGCCAUAACUUUCUCUAUAAAUGUCCAAAUGAUGACUUAUUUAUAUUUCUGGAAACUAGAAACAAAGGGCUACAUCUUUUGUUUUUGAAUCAUAUCACAAUUCCUCAUAGAUCAAAAGAUAUAAACUUCCGAAUGCGGACCAGCGAAUCUGAGAGUUCAUGAGUGCGGCCGCACACAAAAUUGUGCGGUUCGCACACUCCUCUGCGGAAUGAAGUGCGGCCGUACCAAAAUUGUGCAAUCCGCACAACUCCCUUGAGGUCCGCACUUCCCUUUUGCCUCAGCACUCCCAAAAUGUGCGAUCCGCACUUCCAAAGACCCCCAGAACAACAUUAGAGUGUCGAAAAGCCCGUACUCGCUCAAAACUCACCCCGAAACUCACCCGAGGCCACCCGAAACCUCAACCAAACAUACCAACCAAUCCUAAAACACCAUACGAACUUAGUCGAGAGCUCAAAUCAUAUCAAACAAUGCUAAAAUUAUGAAUCNNNNNNNNNNNNNNNAACCAAAACACAUCUGAUUGAGCCCAAAUUUUGCACACAAGUUAAAAUCAACAUUACGGACCUACUCUAACUUUCGAAAUCAUAAUGCAACCCCGAUAUCAAAAAUUCCACUACCGGUCCAAAAUCCCAAAAAAUUAACUUUCGCCAUUUCAAACCUAAUUGAGCUACAGACCACCAAAAAACAAUUCGGACACGCCCCUAAGUCCAAAAUCACCCGACGGAGCUAACAGAAAUGGCAGAAUUCCAUUAUGGAGCCGUCUUCACACUAUUCUACCUACGGUCCAAAUCUUAUGGCUUAAACCUCCAUUUAGGGACUAAGUGUCCCAAAAUACUCCAAACACCAAAACGAAACCUACCGGUAAAUCACAAUAGCAGAAAUAGAUAUGGAAGAAGUAGUUAAUAGGAGAUCAGGGCUAUAACUCUCAAAACAACCGGUCGGGUCGUUACACUUCAUUGGUAUUGCAGUGCUCUCCUGGUUGAUCGACUGUUGAUGUUCGAAUUUUGCUAUGUGGCACAAGAAUUAUGGAAGCAUUUCUCGUGGAAUAAUUAUAUACGAAGGAUGCGUAAGUCAUUUGAGGGGUGGAUAUAGGAUUAGAUCUAGUGAUUCUUUUGUAUUCUUAUGGUUUGGAGGCUGGGAGUCUCAGAGGCAGAUUGUUUCUUGGUUGCGGACUGCAAAGAUAUGGCCAAGUUAGCCAGCUGAUGAUAUGUGUUGUGCAUAAGUUCCAGUGGAUCUUUGGAAGGGUUAUAUACUGAUUUCGGAAGGAUCGGAAUCGAUUUAGAGGCCAUUGGUAGGCCUAAUGUGGAUGUGUAUUCUACCCCCGGUCGUAUUUGUUGACUCAGAACGGCUAUUGUUGAGGGGUGUGCCAUUCAGUUAGAGUUAAGCUUGUUCGUGUUAUGAGAUAAUCUAUGUGUUACUCUUCUCUGCUAUGUUGGAUUGUGAUCUGUUGGUUAUUUGAACACAUGAUGCAGUUCUAUAGGACCUUGUGGCGGAAUUCGAGCAAGAUAGUACUUGUGAUGUCGAAUGGUUUUGUUUCACCUUGGUUAUGGUCUUUCCUGUUGGUGGUAUAUUGUGCUAGCCAUUCCUCCGUGGUUAUGGUCAUGCCUUUUGUGUGUUUGUUGUUGAUUUGCGUAGGGUUGUGGAUUUCUAGCAUUUUGGCUCGAGGUAUUUCAUGUGGACCGGUAUUGGAUGAGGUCAUGCACUGCGGCAGAGUUAUAUUGGGAUAUGAUCCUUUUUGUGAGGUUCGUGUAUUUUAGUGCUACUAUGUGUGAUGAGUUUACAGCGUGUGCUCGUGGUGGUACUUGCUGAGCUUGCGGGAUGGUUCUCUCAUUUGAAUAAUAAUUUAAAAUAAUUUUGGUUUAUAAUAAAUAGGGUGUAUACCUUUGCUAUAGGAGGUAAACUUUCCUUAAAGGAGAAAUUUUCUGUAACCACCAUUGUUUAGUGGCUAUUAACUUCCCAUAGCUACCAUAUACAUAAUUACUUCCUAUAGCUACUAUUCAGUUGUUACGGUAGUGUAUUCGCUGUAUUCGCGCUGCUGUAUUCAUGGAUACAACAGUAAAAAGCGCCUAAAAAUCAGGUGCAGUCCAGCUGUACGCGCAUGUAUUCACAUAUAUUCGCGCCAUGUAUUCAUGAAUACAAUAACGACAAUCACCUUAAAAUAGGUCUGUCUGGCUGUCUAAUAACGGGAAUAAUAUCAAUUAGAAUGAUACACUCCUAAUAUAACUCAACAAAAUCAAUUCUAACAUGCCUCAUUAUCAACCAAAUUAAUUAGAAUAAUUUUUCAGUUGUAUAUAACUGUUGUAUUUAUCUUUUGUAUUUAGUGUGUUUCAAUAUUUUUUUUACUGUUGCAUUUAUUAGACUCAAUGUUUGUAUUUACUGUAUUCGCUAUUUUAUAUUUAGUGUAUUCAAAUGUAUUUGUAUUAAUAGUAUUUUAGUUAUUCCUAAUACAUGUUAUUACUGUUGUAUUCAGUAUAUUUUAUUGGUUAUAUUCACUGUAUUUCUAUUUGUAUUCAGUGUAUUUUACUGUAUUUUAAAAUUAAAUGUAUUCACUAUUUGUAUUCUAUUCUAUUUUAAUAUUUGUACUCAGUGUAUUUCAAUGUUUAUAUCAUGUAUUCAUGCAUAUCGUAUGUACAAUAUGCAUAAAUACAUGUGUAUUCAGUUGUAUUAAAAAAUACAGACCUUUUAAAUACAUAAAUACAGGCAAACAAAAUAUAUUUAUAAAAUAUAUAAUGUGUUUGAGUGAAUUUGUAUAGAAUAAAUAUAUUUGUAUCAUUGUAUUUAACUAAAUAGCAAAGAAGAGAAGAAAGUUCGUCGGAGAUGGCGUUUUCUGGCCAAGAAGAGAAGAAAGUUCGUCGGAUCCGUACAACAAAUUUAUGAUAAGAGUUCAUCAAAAUGCUAAUUUUCGUUCGAAAAAUUCACUCUUUUCUGUUUUCUGGCUGCCUUCCACUCUAUUCUAAUGUCUCGUUGGUAAUCAAUACUAGGGUGUGUAUCUUGAGUUGCUCGAAGAGAGAAAGAUUCUAAUGUCUCGUCGGCCAUCAAUACUAGGCCAUGUAUCUUGAGUUGCUCGAAGAGAGAGAGAAUGGAGAGAGAGAGAGAGAAAGAAGAAAAAUAAUGAGAAAGAAUCGUGUGUUAAUUGAAUGAAAGAGAGAAGAAAAACAUAAAUAGCGUAUUUCAUGCCUCAAUGAUGUAGUUAACAAGUAAAAGUUGUGUCGCACGUUUCUAACACAUCCCUAACGGUAACAAAAUCCCCAAUUCACAUUGCUUUCUUUUCCUAAGCGCCACCCAUGGAGAGGGCGUCUGGCCCUAUUCUGGCGCUUCCAGAACAACCACUCGAUCCCUCAGGCAUAGCGUUGAAACCCCAGGAUAUAUCCCCACCCAAAACUAACUAUCUGAAUGCAGUUGCUGGAUCAUCACCGGGCUCCAACCACUAUCGAUAAUCUGUCAAGGCGGAGAUUACAACCCAUAAUGGUAUGCCGGUGGUCAUAUUUGACUUGGAGGACUACUAUGGUAUCAUGGCAGAGGAAUGCAAAUAUACUAUCAAUGACCGAUUUCUAAAAACAUGACCCCAAAUUGAAACUAUACUGGCUAUAGUCAAGGAAACCAUCCCAAUCAAAGGCUCAAUUAAAAUCGGAGUCUAAGACAAUAAGAAUGUCUUUAUUGAUAUUUACAACGAAGAGGACUUCAAGACGGUCUACUUUAAACAUGUUAUUGAAAUUGAUGGUCAGCCUGUGUGGUUAAGCAGAUGGACUCCUGACUUCACUCCGGAGGAAGAUAACCCUCUAACUUCGGUAUGGGUUUUACUACCGAAACUCCCAUUUUAUUUACAUACUUGGCAUUACGUGAAACAAAUACCGAGCCCUAUCAGAACUCCAAUGGAAAUGGAUGUCGCUACUAAAGGAAAAACUAGACCAAGCAUGACAAAAGUUCGAAUAAAAAUCGACCUAACUAAACCAAGAUUAAAUCAUGUAUUUGUUGUGUCAAAGGAAAUCGACUAAUCCGCUCCACGGAUAUGAGCAAAAAAUUGAGUAUAAAGGAGUACCUAAAUACUGUAUGCAUUGUAGACUACAACUUUAUUCACUCAACCAAUGAGACAAAUGAGACAUUGAAAGACAAUAUUGCACACCCUCAAACAAAGCAGACUAAAGAACAACUGAUUCCAAAGGAGAUACAAGCAGAGGAUCGGCAAAGGGGCAGAGAUUUUCAAAACAACAAAGAUAUGGACAUCAUCCCAAAAAGAGGAAAGAGUGCUCCUCCAAAACAAGCGUAUAAACCAAAUGGAGCGAUCUUUGGGGUUGAUAAACCUCUAUCUAAUGUCGGGAACGUCAAAACUACGAACUCCAAUGUUAUAAGGAUAGAAGAACCAAACAAGAACCAAGCAAAGGAGAGUGCAAAGGAUAAAAGAAAAGACACAAAUAUAGCAUCUUGUAGUACCUCUCAAAUAAUAGUUCAAGAUGAAGCUAUCCAGAAAAACUUGAAUAUAGAAAGAAGCGGGAUAGUUAUUCCUAUUGAAGAUCCUAAACCUCUUGAAGUCGUCCUAUUUCAAGAUGAUGAAAGGAGACAAGAAGAGGAGAUACAAUGGUGUACUCAGAAACAAAAUACUACAAAGAUGCAGAAACAAAGGGAGAUAUAUCAGAAUACUACCGAGAAAGAAUUAGUUAUUCAUAGUAAGUUUGAUUCUCUCAGGAAGGAUGAUGCCAUAUAGAACAAAAUAGUUGUAAAGGUGUAAGAAUAGAAUAACAAUGAGAAGAACCUGGACAAGUCUCGGAAUAAUAAAGAGCCUCCUGAUGAGUGGGCAGAUGCAGCUAGUACAGAAGAGGAGGAAACAACAGAUGAAGCGUCAUUAGAGGAGGAAACUACAGAUGAAGAAACUGAAGUGUUGCAUUAGAUUGUUGGAGGAAAGAAGAAAGAUAUUAAUGAAGUUCAAGGCCUAACUGGUAUUACUAAUUUAAUGGAGGGAAAACCUGUUGGGGGCAAAUCAAAAAGCAAAAAAUAAGGAAAAGCUAGAGAAUCUCCUAUAAUUAGGGGCCAAAAAAGAAACUCACAAACAACCCUUAAUAUUCUAAAUCAUGUUUAAGUUGCUUAACUGGAAUAUAAGGGGUAUGAAAUCCCAAGCUGCUACAGAAAGAUUAAUCUACAUGGUUAAACUUCAUAAAAUCUCUUUAGUUUCUAUACAGGAACCAUUUAUGCAAGAAACAACUAUUGACUUUUAUAAAACUCUACAAGAGAUCUCAGAUACCUUCUCAGCUAAGCUUUGAUGGAAAUUUAGAACCAGAGAUUCACUUUGGACUGAUUUUAUGAAAGCCAAAUACUCUCAAAGGGUCCACCCAAUGGCCAGAAAAUGGAACUACUCUCACUCACACAGUUGGAGAAGGAUGAUGAAAAUCCAACGCAAAACUGACCACCUAAUUCUUUGGAAGAUAAACUCUGGCAACUCAAACCUUUGGUGGGAUAACUGAUCGGGAAUGGGUAAGCUGGCUCAAUUUGGAACUGCAUCUACCUCAUCAAAGAAUCAGGUAUCCUCUUAUAUCUCUAAUGGUAACUGGAAUACUCUUAAACUCUCUCAAAACCUUCCUUUACAUGUUGUUCAUCAAAUUCAAGGAGUUGAAACUAACUCUCCCAACAUAAAAGAUCAACCAAUAUGGACUGCCUCAAUAGAUGGGAUAUUUAGUUGUAACUUAUCUUGGGGAAAUCUUAGAGAAAUUCACAAUACUUCACUGAUUAAUAAGAUGACUUGGCAUCCAAGAUGCCCGUUUAAAAUUUCUUUCUUCCUUUGGAGGCUACUCAGACAUAAGGUCUCUGUAGAUGGCAACCUAGGCAGAUUUGGCACUCAAUUGGCCUCCAAAUGUUCAUGUUGCAUUAGUUCUAGUUCAGAGAGGAUGAAGAUCACAUGUUCAUCAGCAGCAUGUUUGGUAAAGCGGUAUGGCUCUUCUUCAACCAAAUGUUUGUUAUUGAAAGAGAUCAUAACAACAUUAGGCAGAUGGUCAUUACUUGGUGGAUGGAAAGUGGUCUAAAUGCUUUACAAAAAUUUUCCCUACAGAUCCUACCUGGCAUAAUUGUUUGGCAAAUUUGGAAACCCAGAUGUAAGAGCAGAUUUGAAGGGAUUAGGAUGUCCUCCAGCAGGAUAAUCCUUCACACUACCCAGCAACUCAAUAUUAUUGCUCACAAAUAAUUCCCCGUAGUACCUCCGUUUAUGAAAGGAAAUCAUUUCUUUGAAUUAAUUGAUACUGCACAACCUGCAAUUCAUACUAAUUUUGUUAAGUGGUCCUCCCCACACAAUGGAUGGAAAUUGAACUGUGAUGGAUGCUCUAAAGGCAAUCCAGGCCCUAGUGGAGGGGGAGGUAUUACCAGGGAUGAUCAUGGGAACUUAAUUAAGGCGUAUGCUAUAUCAUUUGGCACGAAUACUAAUAACCUUGCUAAAGCUUUAGCACUGAAAUACGGUAUAAACUGGUGCAUUCAUAAUAAUAUCAAAAAGUUGAGGUGGAAAGUGACUCUCUCAUGCUAGUAAAUUAGAUUACAAACACCAAUAAUAUUCUAUAUAGAUUGCAAGAUGUUGUUUUAGAAAUCAGGAACCAAAUGAAUUACUUUGAAGAAGUUACUAUGAAACACUGCUUCAGGGAAUGCAAUAAGGUAGCAGAUCAUUUGGCUAACUUUGGCUUGAAUUGUAAUGACAUUACUUGGUUCGACAAUUUCCACCAACUUCCCAGGGAGGUUAGAGGAGAAGUUAACAUGGACAAACUCCAAUUUCCUUCUCUUCGUAGCAAAACCAUGAAGAAGAAUUUAUUUUUGAAUCGACAACUUCUUAUGAUGUACCAUUUUGACGUCCCCUAAUAAUAUGUUAGCUUCAUUCGGGAGGACUCUCACUCUGAGAAUCUAUUCCCACUAAAGUUUUGUGAUGUAAAAUAGAUGUAAAGGGGGAGAUUGUUCCUUCCUACUAAAUAUAUAUAGGAUACCUGCUAUGCAGUAUCCUACUUUAGUAAUGCUUUCAUAUUUAUAAGACCUUAUCCAUACUCCAUGCAGGUGGAUAAUUAAUUUUUAAAAAAAUGGCUCAAUGGUAGUAUACCAUAAAUACCUAUUUUUCUAUAAAAUAUAAAAGGUAGCUAUAGAAAAUAAUAAUUUAAAAUAAUUUUGGUUUAUAAUAAAUAGGGUGUAUACAUUUGUGGAGGUAAAAUUUCCUUAAACCCAAUUGAAGCCCUGUUGAUCUCUCUCUCUUGGUAUCCCAUCAUCUCAACGUAAAACAAUGAAUCAAGCAGCGCAAAGAUGUGAAUUAACUCACAAUUUAUUAAAGCAUGAGUGCAGGACAUAGGCUAAUCUAACACUUUAUUAUACUAUCAAACACAAAACGAAAGUUGAGAUUAAAGAUAAGAAUGGACCUCAAUGUAGCUGGAAUUCGAUUGUUUCACAGCUUUGAAACUCGAAAGCUGACAGCACCGCAGACAGGGUGUCGAGCGGAAUUUGGCUCGGCACAAACCGACCGUCACGAGCCAAUGUCACAAAUUUUUCUCGCUUUUUUAAUAAAAGAGAGGAGAGGGUUUCUGCGGUGGUCAUUUGUCACUUUGAUGUAAUGAAGCUCGAUCGGUACCUGUUUGUAUGGUGUUUUUUGACUUUCUGUGGUAGAGGUCAAGACGUUAAUGGAAGAGAUGGUGCGCAGCUAUAUAUAGUACUGACUAUGGCGUUAAUGGGUUAGGUUCUGGUGCUAUAUAUUCAGGUGUGGCUGACAUGGUUCCUCUGCGUGAGUCCGUGAGGUAGAAGAUGUGUAUG
rnacentral:lncRNA from 1 species